rnacentral:snoRNA from 15 species
CGUCCUUUUCUUGGCGGGGACCGGGCAUGCGGUCCCAGACCCCGGUUAUGUAUGGAGGCAGAGAGAGAGGGUCCGGCCCCCGUGGCGUCAUGUCUUCGGUGCCGGCGGCUUCCCGUCUCCCGGUCCUAUCCUCAGUCACCGGGACAGGG